rnacentral:rRNA from 1 species
AUUGAACGCUGGCGGCAGGCCUAACACAUGCAAGUCGAACGAGUGGCGGACGGGUGAGUAAUGUCUGGGAAACUGUCCGCUGGAGGGGGAUAACUACUGGAAACGGUAGCUAAUACCGCAUACCAUCGGAUGUGCCCAGAUGGGUUUAGCUAGUGGGUGGGGUAACGGCUCACCUAGGCGACGAUCCCUAGCUGGUCUGAGAGGAUGACCAGCAACACUGGAACGUGGACACGGUCCAGACUCCUACGGGAGGAAGCAGUGGGGAAUAUUGGACAAUGGGCGAAAGCCUGAUGCAGCCAUGCCGCGGGUAUGAAGAAGGCCUUCGGGUUGUAAAGUACUUUCAGCGGGGAGGCGUUACUCGCAGAAGAAGCACCGGCUAACUCCGUGCCAGCCGCCGCGGUAAUUC